AUCAUUCAAAUUCAAAUAGCAUGUUCAUACAUUAAACACAGUAAUUUUUUAUUCAAAAAGCCAAUUUUAUUCAUUAUCAUACAUAAAUGUUCAUUACAUACCAAAUAAAUCCAAAAUAAAUUACAUGUUGACCAAUUGUUGACUUUGGUCAACAUUUGACUUUUUGGUCAACUUUGACCAAAGUCAACAUAAGUCCUUGUUCAUCCAAAAUCACUAAAUGACUAGUCUUAACUCUAAUUUCAUCCUCCAUUUCCAUUUUACCUUGAUUUGGCUAUGUAGGCUUGAUUUCCCACUUUGAUUAUCAAUAUGGCUUCAUGCCUUGCCAUGCCUUAAGUUUUGCCUUGCAACAUUGCCACAAGUAAGCCUUGCACCAAAAUACAAUCUUGCAUUCAUAACAAUGACUAAAAGCAUGAAAUGACUUGACCUCAAAAUUAACACAUACCCAUAAAGCCAACCAAGCAAUGCAUAUUCAUGGCAAGCACAUAGCCAUACAUGAACAUAUUUCAUAUUUCAACAUGACAUUUAAGACCAAGAAGAAACCUAUUAACCUUGCCACAUUCCAUAGCAGACCAAGAAUCAACACAGAUUAUGCACCAUGUAGAACAUUCACCAUAUGACUCCCUCAUGUUGCAGCCUACAUACACGACCCUGCCUGCAUCAAUUGAACACACACCAAGUGAGGACCUUAAGCCACAAACUUACAUUGCAGAACCUAAGCCAAUAGCAUCCUGCAUCACCAAUCCAACAUCAAUGAUCAAGCUAAGCAAGCCAGUCCUGCAACAGAUUAUUCAUUGCAUCCAGACAUCAAGUUCAGUUAGCAGGAUUUCUAUCACUGCAUAGAAAACAAAGCAUAAUCAUCAUAUCAGCCAUUGUACCCAUUCAGCAGACCAUGACAGAAGCUUAACAUUUUAUUCAACUGCACCAACAAGAAAAUGAUUGCAUCAAUACAUUUCAGUGAAAACUACCAGUAGGCCACAUUUUUCUAAACACCCCAUCAACUAACUGCUGAAUCAAUGGAUUUUCACAGCUCAUUCAAUGCCACUAUCCAGAUAUCAAAAAAUUCAAAGUUAACAACUAAUAGUUUAUGAUAGGUCAUGAAUAAUUUUAAAUCUAACUAACUUUCAAUUCUUAUAGCUAAUUCCUAUAACUAACUUCUAAUAGAUGGAAUUAACGGAACUUGAUCUCUAACCAUUUUGAACUUUCACGAUUUAAUAGAGUUUAAUCUCUAUUAUAUCCGACGAGCUAUAUAAAUCAUCAUUCACCAUUCAGAAGGAGUUUUUUCAUAACAUUCUUCACUCAUCACACUUUGCUCUCCAAUCUCAAUCAUUCUCAGAUUAUCCCUUUCUUCUCUCUCACUUCUCUCUCUCAAUCCCUCACCCAGAGCUCUUUCUCCAUAGCCAUUGAAGCUUUAUAUUGAAGCUUUAAUUUUCUUGAGCUAAACCAUCAGAAUAUCACUUCUCUCUCACGCAGUCCAUCUCUCAGAAUUAGUAAGAAAAAGAAGACGUGCAAGAGGAGUAGAGGGGAAGGAAUUGAAAUAGAAGAAAGAAAGAGAGUUUGGAGUAAAAAUCACCUGAGGAGCUUGGAGAUAUCUGGUUCGUGUAUUAUCUUCGUCAUUGAAGAGUCACCGGAACUACUCCGACAAGUAGGCCAUCGCGUCUUCACCUUUUUUCAUCUUUUUUCUCCAUUCUUGAUACCAUGCGAAGGCUUGAGAUGCGUCGAGUAGAAGCCCUAAGGUCUCGUCAGUUAAUCGUUCACCGUAAAAAUUUAGUUUAUGAUUCUUUAGGUUAGGGUUCAAACAUAUUUUGGUUCGGUUAGGACAUUAGAGGCUGGAGUAGGUUAAAAUGAUGUUGGACUAAGAUUGAGGACAUGAAGAGGGAGAGUUUAGUGGUCAAUUUUUUGAAUUCUACAAAAUCUCUGUAGCCGAGGGAACCUCCGGCACGACGGAGACAACAACGAAAAUAGAAGUGUAAGCUUUGAGAGUGUGGUGUUCUAAGCCUCUCAUUUUAUUUCCCCAUGUGCAUUAGCCUUGCUGAAUCAUCACCACACAUGUUAUAUUCCAUUGCUUUGUUGCUUCUGAUGGGUUUAGCAUGAAUGGGCCCAAGCUUUGUUCUCACCAUCACCCUGAAUAGCCUUAUGCACCCCCUGGCCAAGACUAGUUCAAUGGGCCUUUCAGCCAUGGGCCCAUACGCCUGAGUUUGUG
rnacentral:lncRNA from 1 species